GAGCACGUAGGUGGGUUUGUAAGUCAGAUGUGAAAGCCUUCUGUUCAACAGAAGAAUUGCGUCUGAAACCGCGAGUCUUGAGUGUAGGAGGGGAGAAUGGAACUUCUGGUGGAGCGGUGAAAUGCGUAGAUAUCAGAAGGAACGCCGGCAGCGAAAGCGAUUCUCUGGCCUAUUACUGACACUCAGUGUGCGAAAGCUAGGGGAGCAAACGGGAUUAGAUACCCCGGUAGUCCUAGCCGUAAACGAUGGGCACUAAGUAGAGGGAAUUACCGAUGUUCUCUCUGCCGUAGCUAACGCAUUAAGUGCCCCGCCUGGGGAGUACGGCCGCAAGGCUAAAACUCAAAAGAAUUGACGGGGGCUCGCACAAGCGGUGGAGCAUGUGGCUUAAUUCGAUGCAACGCGAAAAACCUUACCGGGGCUUGACAUGGUAGAAGUAGGAACCCGAAAGGGUAACGAACGGUAUCCAGUCCGUAGCUAUCACAGGUGUUGCAUGGCUGUCGUCAGCUCGUGUCGUGAGACGUUGGGUUAAGUCCCCUAACGAGCGAAACCCUUGUUUUUAGUUACCAGCGGGUUGUGCCGGGUACUCUAGAAAGACUGCCGUCGUCAAGACGGAGGAAGGUGGGGAUGACGUCAAGUCAUCAUGGCCCUUAUGCCCCGGGCUGCACACGUGCUACAAUGGUCGGUACAAACGGAAGCGAAGCCGAGAGGUGAAGCGAAUCC
rnacentral:rRNA from 1 species